UAGUCCACGCCGUAAACGAUGAGAACUAGAUGUCGGGGGAUUUAGCCCUUCGGUAUCGCAGCUAACGCGUUAAGUUCUCCGCCUGGGGAGUACGGUGGCAACACUAAAACUCAAAGGAAUUGACGGGGACCUGCACAAGCGGUGGAGCAUGUGGUUUAAUUCGAUGCAACGCGAAGAACCUUACCUGCCCUUGACAUUGACAGAACCCUUUAGAGAUAGAGGGGUGCUUCGGCCUGGAAACAGGUGCUGCAUGGCUGUCGUCAGCUCGUGUCGUGAGAUGUUGGGUUAAGUCCCGCAACGAGCGCAACCCUUAUCCUUAGUUGCCAGCACGUAAUGGUGGGAACUCUAAGGAGACCGCCGGUGACAAACCGGNGGAAGGUAAGGAUGACGUCAAGUCAGCAUGCCCCUUAUGCUCUGGGCUACACACGUGCUACAAUGGCCGUGACAAAGAGUUGCUACUUUGUGAAAACAAGCUAAUCUCAUAAACGCGGCCUCAGUUCGGAUUGCAGGCUGAAA
rnacentral:rRNA from 1 species